CUGAGGAUAGAGACUGGGAUGGCCAUGGGGGCAGAGAGGCCCAGAGGCAGAGACCAGCCUGCUGCAUGCAGACUCGCUCUGAGUGGACAGGAUUCUAAAUGAUUGACCUGCCACCGUGGGAAUCAAGUUGCGAGUAACCCUUGCACCCCAAGAACGUUCCACUGUCACUCCUCAGUCUCACUGAAUCCAUAGCAAAUGUGCCCGGGGCUGAAACCCAUUGGCAAGACUCAUAGCCCCCCACCUUCUGACUUGAGGGAGAGCAGUCUACAAGAAGAACUGGACUUGGAAGCUGCUGGGGAAAUAGCAUUCAAAGCAGAGAGAAGAGUGUGUGCAAACAUGACCUGGAGAGGCUGGGUAGGAAAAAGUCCUGAAACUCUCUUUAUUACCUAAGCCAGUCUUUAAGAUCAUGAUGCUUGGUCGAAGAUCAACAAGUCAAAUAAGCUUCAUAAACCCAGCGAGCAAGUACAGUGGGAGAGAAGGGGCGACCUGGGAGACGGCGAUCACCUGAAGAGUCUCAGUGCUUUCAAAGGUCACCUCACCGGCAAAUCCGGAGUUACCAGCAGAACAGGUGAAGUGACCCAGCGACCUUCUGUCAAUCUAAAAUGGCUGGGCUCCCAGGUAGCAAGGUCGGCACACCUGGGUCAUGUCUACUGUCCCUACGUCCUUCCCAUGCGCAAGGACACCAGUAAUGGUGUUUGCCUGCUGACCUUCAACACGCUGCUCCUUCGGCAAUAAAACCAGAAAUCGAUUUUUGAUUCCUGUGCUGUAAUUUAACACAACUUAAAAAAGAAUCCCCACUAAGGCUACUUUGAAAUUUUAACAAUUUAUGCCAGGCAAGAAGCCCAAAACAUCGAUUUCAAUCAUUUAAACAAACAAUAGAGCCUUUUAGGUAAGUAGACUUGGGUUUGAAAAGGAUAUUUAGCAACAUACAUUUUUGGGGAAGAAUGAAAUGCUUCUCACCUGCCAGAAGAGAAAGAAGAAACAAGAAAAAAACUCAGUCUCCAAACAGCCUUUGGUAUUCACCUUUGAACAUACUCUCUCCAAAAGUAAUAAUACCACAAGUUUACCUUCAUGCCAAAGGCUGGGUUGUGUCUAUUUCCUUAUGACUUUCUCCACAAUGACUCACACAGAAAAGUGGUGAGGGCAUUGGUUUCACCUCUCAAGUUCGUUUUCUUUUUAAUUAAUAGGAAGUGCAUGACAUGAUACAAAUAAAGUUUAUAAAAAAUGCUGAAGUAAUAUUUAUCGAUAUUUGUUGGAUGCUUUAUAAGCAAGGGUUGACUCUCCCAGGCCACCUGAUAAUCUGCCCUCUUUAAGGUUAGUUGCUUUGAA